GAUGAACGCUAGCGGCAGGCCUAACAUAUGCAAGUCGAGGGGCAGCACAGAAACAGCAAUGUUUUGGUGGCGACCGGCGGACGGGUGCGUAACGCGUAUGCAACCUACCUUUAACAGGGGGAUAACGGAGAGAAAUUUCCACUAAUACCCCAUAACAUCGAUCAAGGCAUAUUGAUUGGUUGAAAACUCCGGUGGUUAAAGAUGGGCAUGCGUUGUAUUAGGUAGUUGGUGAGGUAACGGCUCACCAAGCCUACGAUACAUAGGGGGACUGAGAGGUUAGCCCCCCACACUGGUACUGAGACACGGACCAGACUCCUACGGGAGGCAGCAGUGAGGAAUAUUGGUCAAUGGGGGCAACCCUGAACCAGCCAUGCCGCGUGCAGGAAGACGGCUCUAUGAGUUGUAAACUGCUUUUAAACAGGGAUAAAGCACAGUAUGUAUACUGUGUUGAAGGUACUGUAAGAAUAAGGAUCGGCUAACUCCGUGCCAGCCGCCGCCGUAA
rnacentral:rRNA from 1 species